AUGAACCUUUUCAUCCACAGCUUUAUCAGUGUCCCGAUUGCCCAUGAGAACAGCUUGAAGGAAGCAGUGAAUUUCCCAGAGGAGCUGCAGAAAGAACCAGAAAGAAACAUCACAAUGUUCACUGCAGGGCAACGCUGCAUCGACAAGGAUGGCGGCGCUUCUCCUGAACGAGCUAAGACUAAUGAGACACAAACAGACACACACCUUCAGUCCUUCCUUCAUUCUUCUUCCUCGGUGUAUCUUUCCAUCCUUCACAUUUCAUGGACUCAGUAUAGCAGCUGGCUAUUGCAAAGUGCAUGAGUUAUUGUCAGCGCCUGGGCAGCAUCUGAAUAUUUAAGGAUAUUUUAAGCCUACAUUCAGUCCAAUGCAUAUUUUAUAGAUGCUAAACUACAGUCUGUGAAAGAGUGCAUCGUUCUCGCAUUCUGUUUUAAACAUCAUAUAUAUGGAGCAAUACAUCAACUAAAUGCUUGACUGUAAUUUUGUUGUUAACUGUUUUUGAAAAAUGCUAAACUGAAUAAUUUUAUAAUGACUAUAUAAUAACUGUAUAAUAACUUUAUAAUUGUAAAAUCUUUGUCUUAUUCAGCCAAUUACACUUACAUUCGAAAUACUUAGGCCUAAAUUUAAGAUGUAUUUGAAUUAAAUUUCAACAAUCCAAUUGGAUUAUACCAUUUGUAAGAUUCUGCCCUAAAAACAAACAAACAUAAUUUCCAUCAAAUAAACAUUUUUAAAGUGUAUUUUAAAAUGUAUGCAUGCAUUCAAACUUAGGUUAGAACCAACAUAAAUCUGUUCAUUGUGAAAAUGACUUUAUUCAGUUUAGAAGUAUGAACAAUUAAAAUAUGACUAGCUGUGAAACAAGCAAUAUUCAAGUAGUAGUACUGUAUAUGUCUUGUUUCAGUUUAUUGGCACUAUUACAAAAUUCAUACCUGUUUCAUUUAUGUAUGACUGACAAAUACUGUAUGCAUCACGUUAAGUUUAUUAAUGUCAAAAAUGUAAUCCAAAUUAAUGGAUUUUUUUUUUGUAUUAUUGUUAAUUGUUAAGCUGUGUUAAUGUCAUGUCUCUUGUUGCUCUCUACAAGUUCUUUCUUUUUACAUAAUUUACAGUAAUUUCAGUUCAGAUCAAAAAUGUCCAUUUAUUCCCAGACAAAUUGAUAAUAUGAUUUGCAAUAACUCUGCUUCAUGUUGGGAUUCUGACUAUUUUGCAAUAAUGACUGGUUGACUGAAUUUUAUCUCUUACUUAAUGGCAUCUUCCUUCUCGCUCUAAUAUCCAUCAGGGAACAUUUCCGCAGAAUGUGGCAGAAGCAGCAAAUGUAUAUAUAUAAUCAAUGCAGCUUUCCACACUGUGCUUGUUGCAGCAUGUACUGUACUUUUGUACAACAUGUACUCCAGCCACGGUGUUUCCCUAGUCUUUCUGAAAUAAAAUGGUUUUAUUUACAAAUAUCAUAUUUGUUAUGAAAUAGCUGUGACAGCAGCUUUUUUUUGGUCUGUGUGGUAUCUGCAGUCACUUGUACUGUGUGGUAAUACUAACACUAUCUGUACGAUUCACAGCUGAUUGGUGUUUAUCAGUGAACAUUAUGAGAUGACAUGCAGCUUUGACUCUUCCAGUGUAGACACACUCAAGCCAUUGCAGCACAUGUCAUUGGUCACUUCCAUGACAUCUUCCAGAUGAAAACGCACAUUAGACACCCUUAUUAGUUACAGCUAUUAAGAAGAACCCU
ensembl:lncRNA